rnacentral:lncRNA from 1 species
ACUAUCCCAAAGCCAUCACCAUCACCAUCGCCUAAGGGGCGAUGGAAGACAGAGCACAGGAAAAGAUCAAAACAAAGCAAGAUAGUCCAUGGAGGAAUUGCAACAUUUCCUCACUAAACAUUGAGCGUGGGGUUAAGAGGUUAGAAAUACAGCAAAGGGAGGAAAAUGCACAGCCCUAAUAGAGCAGUUAUUCCUUAGGAUCCACACUGCAGCCUUUUACAAAGUCCCUGGAGCAUUUUUGAGGGUGUGUGGCUCUUGGGUGGGGAGCUGUGAAAAGCAAGAUCUAUCUUCACACU